UACGUGAGGUGCAAACGUUACCCGGAAUUAUUGGGCGUAAAGCGUGCGCAGGCGGUGAUGUAAGACAGGUGUGAAAUCCCCGGGCUUAACCUGGGAACUGCAUUUGUGACUGCAUCGCUGGAGUGCGGCAGAGGGGGAUGGAAUUCCGCGUGUAGCAGUGAAAUGCGUAGAUAUGCGGAGGAACACCGAUGGCGAAGGCAGCUCUCUGGGACGGUACUGACGCUGAGACGCGAAAGCGUGGGGAGCGAACAGG
rnacentral:rRNA from 1 species